rnacentral:lncRNA from 1 species
AAAUCUCGAUAUUUUCUUUUUGACAACAGUUUACGCUGUAAAAAAAAAAAAAAAUGAGAGGAGUUUUGUUGAUUAUUUUUGCUGCUAUGCUAGUGGCAGUCACCUUUGCUGAUCCUAAAGGAAAUAAAAAGAAUGAAAAACAUCCCCCACCCCCAAUACCUGACAAUAGUCAUCCUCCUCCAGGUGACAAAAAAGAUGAAAAACCACACCCCACAUCCGCGAUACGUUAUGGUGGCGCUCAUUCUCAUGGCAAUGAAAAUAGUGAAUAUCCAAACUCCGAACCCUCAAUUCAUUCUCAAGAACAUUCCUCAUCCCCAAAACCUAACAAUGAUCAUCCUCCAGGCCCGAAAAAACAUAAUUGAAGCCGGAAUUUUUUACAACAAUUAAGUUGAUUUUAACGAAUUUUUUGGACCAUUGGUCUUAAACUGUAAUAAUAUGUUUGUGUAUUUGUAUCUUUGUAUUUGUAUAUUUAUAAUAUAUGUUUCCGACUCCAACAACUGCACAUGUAUAACAAAGUUUUAAGACUGUACUAAACAGAAAUAAUGUUUUGAACUAUUUUCAACUAUUCUUUUUUAUACUUAAGUUGCUUUUGUUGUCAAUAUUCAAUAUUUUGAUGAUAAUACAACAUGUAAAGGAUUUAAUAACAGCUGCACAAACAUUAAAGGAUUGCACUCACAUUUGCGCUAACAUUAAAGAUUGCACUCACUGGUUUAUUGUUAAAUGAAAUAAAAUAAUACUUUUAAAAAUGAUAAAAAUAUAUUAAUUUUAAUACGUUA